UUAUGUGGCCAAACUCCUUGUCAAAGCCUGAUUUUGUCAGAUCUCAGAAGCUCAGCAAGACCAGGCUGGUUAGUAUUUGGAAGGGAGACUGCUGGGAAUUGCAGGUGCCACAGUUG
rnacentral:rRNA from 1 species